UUUAAAUUGAGAGUUUGAUCCUGGCUCAGGAUGAACGCUGGCGGCGUGCUUAACACAUGCAAGUCGAGCGAUGAAGUUUCCUUCGGGAAACGGAUUAGCGGCGGACGGGUGAGUAACACGUGGGUAACCUGCCUCAUAGAGUGGAAUAGCCUUCCGAAAGGAAGAUUAAUACCGCAUAAUGUUGAAAGAUGGCAUCAUCAUUUAACCAAAGGAGCAAUCCGCUAUGAGAUGGACCCGCGGCGCAUUAGCUAGUUGGUGGGGUAACGGCCUACCAAGGCGACGAUGCGUAGCCGACCUGAGAGGGUGAUCGGCCACAUUGGGACUGAGACACGGCCCAGACUCCUACGGGAGGCAGCAGUGGGGAAUAUUGCACAAUGGGGGAAACCCUGAUGCAGCAACGCCGCGUGAGUGAUGAAGGUUUUCGGAUCGUAAAGCUCUGUCUUUGGGGAAGAUAAUGACGGUACCCAAGGAGGAAGCC
rnacentral:rRNA from 1 species